rnacentral:rRNA from 1 species
UAACUGCGAGUGAAGCGGGAAAAGCUCAAAUUUAAAAUCUGGCAGCUUCGCUGUCCGAGUUGUAAUCUGGAGAAGCAUUUUCCGUGCUGUACCGUGUACAAGUCUCUUGGAACAGAGCGUCAUAGAGGGUGAGAAUCCCGUCUUUGACACGGACUACCAGUGCUUUGUGAUAUGCUCUCAAAGAGUCGAGUUGUUUGGGAAUGCAGCUCAAAAUGGGUGGUAAAUUCCAUCUAAAGCUAAAUAUUGGCGAGAGACCGAUAGCGAACAAGUACCGUGAGGGAAAGAUGAAAAGCACUUUGGAAAGAGAGUUAAACAGUACGUGAAAUUGUUGAAAGGGAAACGCUUGAAGUCAGUCGCGUUGUCCGGGACUCAGCCUUGCUUCUGCUUGGUGUACUUCCUGGUUGACGGGCCAACAUCAAUUUUGAUCAGUGGAUAAAGGCAGAGGGAAUGUGGCACCUCCGGGUGUGUUAUAGCCCUUUGUCACAUGCAUUGGUUGGGAUUGAGGACCGCAGCACGCCUUUUGGCCGGGGUUCGCCCACGUACCGUGCUUAGGAUGUUGGCAUAAUGGCUUUAAUCGACCCGUCUUGAAACACGGACCAAGGAGUCUAACAUGCCCGCAAGUGUUAGGGUGGUAAACCCUUGCGCGUAAUGAAAGUGAAAGUUGGGACCUCUGUCAUGGAGGGCACCGACGCCCGGCCUGAAACUUCUGUGACGGAGCCGCGGUAGAGCGUGUAUGUUGGGACCCGAAAGAUGGUGAACUAUGCCUGAAUAGGGCGAAGCCAGAGGAAACUCUGGUGGAGGCUCGUAGCGAUUCUGACGUGCAAUCGAUCG